AGGUAUUUAUUUCAAUAUUCUUUUAAGAUUCUUUUAUUAUUUUUUUAAGAUUUUUGUAAAAUUCUAUAUGAUUUUUUUAUGUUUCUUUUAUAAAUUUUUUUAGAUUCUAAUUGGAUUUGAUCAAGAUUUGAUUAGGAUUAUUAAGGUUCAAUUGGAAUUUAUUUAAGAUUCUAUUAGACUUGUUGAGACUUUGUUGUUGUAAUUUCUAUUUUACCUUCUAUAGUCAAGUAUCCAAUACAAUCUUCAAGAAGACUUUAAGUAAUACAAUAGCAUAUUGCUUGACAAGUUGUAACUUUGACAAAUUUUGUUGUUGAUUGCUUGCUAUGAAGGUAGAUAGAACAAGUAU
rnacentral:lncRNA from 1 species